rnacentral:rRNA from 1 species
UAUUGGACAAUGGGCGAAAGCCUGAUCCAGCAAUGCCGCGUGAGUGAUGAAGGCCUUAGGGUUGUAAAGCUCUUUUACCAGGGAUGGUAAUGACAGUACCUGGAGAAUAAGCUCCGGCUAACUCCGUGCCAGCAGCCGCGGUAAUACGGAGGGAGCUAGCGUUGUUCGGAAUUACUGGGCGUAAAGAGUACGUAGGCGGUGAUUCAAGUCAGAGGUGAAAGCCUGGAGCUCAACUCCAGAACUGCCUUUGAAACUAGAUCGCUAGAAUCAUGAGAGGUUAGUGAAUUCCGAGUGAGAGGUAAAUUCGAGUUUCGAAGACACCAGUGGCAAGGCACAACUGGCCUGUUAGCGCUGGUCAGAAAG